rnacentral:rRNA from 1 species
GGUUAAGCGACUAAGCGUACACGGUGGAUGCCCUGGCAGUCAGAGGCGAUGAAGGACGUGCUAAUCUGCGAUAAGCGUCGGUAAGGUGAUAUGAACCGUUAUAACCGGCGAUUUCCGAAUGGGGAAACCCAGUGUGAUUCGUCACACUAUCAUUAACUGAAUCCAUAGGUUAAUGAGGCGAACCGGGGGAACUGAAACAUCUAAGUACCCCGAGGAAAAGAAAUCAACCGAGAUUCCCCCAGUAGCGGCGAGCGAACGGGGAGCAGCCCAGAGCCUGAAUCAGUGUGUGUGUUAGUGGAAGCGUCUGGAAAGGCGCGCGAUACAGGGUGACAGCCCCGUACACAAAAAUGCACAUACUGUGAGCUCGAUGAGUAGGGCGGGACACGUGGUAUCCUGUCUGAAUAUGGGGGGACCAUCCUCCAAGGCUAAAUACUCCUGACUGACCGAUAGUGAACCAGUACCGUGAGGGAAAGGCGAAAAGAACCCCGGCGAGGGGAGUGAAAAAGAACCUGAAACCGUGUACGUACAAGCAGUGGGAGCACAGAGCAAUCUGUGUGACUGCGUACCUUUUGUAUAAUGGGUCAGCGACUUAUAUUCUGUAGCAAGGUUAACCGAAUAGGGGAGCCGAAGGGAAACCGAGUCUUAACUGGGCGUUAAGUUGCAGGGUAUAGACCCGAAACCCGGUGAUCUAGCCAUGGGCAGGUUGAAGGUUGGGUAACACUAACUGGAGGACCGAACCGACUAAUGUUGAAAAAUUAGCGGAUGACUUGUGGCUGGGGGUGAAAGGCCAAUCAAACCGGGAGAUAGCUGGUUCUCCCCGAAAGCUAUUUAGGUAGCGCCUCGUGAAUUCAUCUCCGGGGGUAGAGCACUGUUUCGGCAAGGGGGUCAUCCCGACUUACCAACCCGAUGCAAACUGCGAAUACCGGAGAAUGUUAUCACGGGAGACACACGGCGGGUGCUAACGUCCGUCGUGAAGAGGGAAACAACCCAGACCGCCAGCUAAGGUCCCAAAGUCAUGGUUAAGUGGGAAACGAUGUGGGAAGGCCCAGACAGCCAGGAUGUUGGCUUAGAAGCAGCCAUCAUUUAAAGAAAGCGUAAUAGCUCACUGGUCGAGUCGGCCUGCGCGGAAGAUGUAACGGGGCUAAACCAUGCACCGAAGCUGCGGCAGCGACGCUUAUGCGUUGUUGGGUAGGGGAGCGUUCUGUAAGCCUGUGAAGGUGUACUGUGAGGUAUGCUGGAGGUAUCAGAAGUGCGAAUGCUGACAUAAGUAACGAUAAAGCGGGUGAAAAGCCCGCUCGCCGGAAGACCAAGGGUUCCUGUCCAACGUUAAUCGGGGCAGGGUGAGUCGACCCCUAAGGCGAGGCCGAAAGGCGUAGUCGAUGGGAAACAGGUUAAUAUUCCUGUACUUGGUGUUACUGCGAAGGGGGGACGGAGAAGGCUAUGUUGGCCGGGCGACGGUUGUCCCGGUUUAAGCGUGUAGGCUGGUUUUCCAGGCAAAUCCGGAAAAUCAAGGCUGAGGCGUGAUGACGAGGCACUACGGUGCUGAAGCAACAAAUGCCCUGCUUCCAGGAAAAGCCUCUAAGCAUCAGGUAACAUCAAAUCGUACCCCAAACCGACACAGGUGGUCAGGUAGAGAAUACCAAGGCGCUUGAGAGAACUCGGGUGAAGGAACUAGGCAAAAUGGUGCCGUAACUUCGGGAGAAGGCACGCUGAUAUGUAGGUGAAGUCCCUCGCGGAUGGAGCUGAAAUCAGUCGAAGAUACCAGCUGGCUGCAACUGUUUAUUAAAAACACAGCACUGUGCAAACACGAAAGUGGACGUAUACGGUGUGACGCCUGCCCGGUGCCGGAAGGUUAAUUGAUGGGGUUAGCGCAAGCGAAGCUCUUGAUCGAAGCCCCGGUAAACGGCGGCCGUAACUAUAACGGUCCUAAGGUAGCGAAAUUCCUUGUCGGGUAAGUUCCGACCUGCACGAAUGGCGUAAUGAUGGCCAGGCUGUCUCCACCCGAGACUCAGUGAAAUUGAACUCGCUGUGAAGAUGCAGUGUACCCGCGGCAAGACGGAAAGACCCCGUGAACCUUUACUAUAGCUUGACACUGAACAUUGAGCCUUGAUGUGUAGGAUAGGUGGGAGGCUUUGAAGUGUGGACGCCAGUCUGCAUGGAGCCGACCUUGAAAUACCACCCUUUAAUGUUUGAUGUUCUAACGUUGACCCGUGAUCCGGGUUGCGGACAGUGUCUGGUGGGUAGUUUGACUGGGGCGGUCUCCUCCUAAAGAGUAACGGAGGAGCACGAAGGUUGGCUAAUCCUGGUCGGACAUCAGGAGGUUAGUGCAAUGGCAUAAGCCAGCUUGACUGCGAGCGUGACGGCGCGAGCAGGUGCGAAAGCAGGUCAUAGUGAUCCGGUGGUUCUGAAUGGAAGGGCCAUCGCUCAACGGAUAAAAGGUACUCCGGGGAUAACAGGCUGAUACCGCCCAAGAGUUCAUAUCGACGGCGGUGUUUGGCACCUCGAUGUCGGCUCAUCACAUCCUGGGGCUGAAGUAGGUCCCAAGGGUAUGGCUGUUCGCCAUUUAAAGUGGUACGCGAGCUGGGUUUAGAACGUCGUGAGACAGUUCGGUCCCUAUCUGCCGUGGGCGCUGGAGAACUGAGGGGGGCUGCUCCUAGUACGAGAGGACCGGAGUGGACGCAUCACUGGUGUUCGGGUUGUCAUGCCAAUGGCACUGCCCGGUAGCUAAAUGCGGAAGAGAUAAGUGCUGAAAGCAUCUAAGCACGAAACUUGCCCCGAGAUGAGUUCUCCCUGACUCCUUGAGAGUCCUGAAGGAACGUUGAAGACGACGACGUUGAUAGGCCGGGUGUGUAAGCGCAGCGAUGCGUUGAGCUAACCGGUACUAAUGAACCGUGAGGCUUAACCUU